UUCUUACUUGGAAUUGUUUCUUUAUUGGAAUCGUUGGUACCAUUUGAUUUCAAAUCUGAUCAUCGAUUCCAAAUUUAACAUGCACAAGUUUUGGUUUCUGUAGCGGCCAGACGCUUGUUGUGUUGCAGCCAUGUACAGUA